AACGAACGCUGGCGGCAGGCUUAACACAUGCAAGUCGAGCGGGCGCUUUCGGGCGUCAGCGGCGGACGGGUUAGUAACGCGUGGGUACGUGCCCUUUGCUCUGGAAUAGGCCUGGGAAACCGGGGGUAAUACCGGAUGUGCCCUGACGGGGAAGGGUUUUCCCGGCAAGGGAUCGGACCGAGUCUGAGUAGGUAGUUGGUGUGGUAACGGCGCACCAAGCCGACGAUCGGUAGCUGGUUUGAGAGGAUGAUCAGCAACACUGGGACUGAGACACGGCCCAGACUCCUACGGGAGGCAGCAGUGGGGAAUCUUAGACAAUGGGCGAAAGCCUGAUCUAGCCAUGCCGCGUGGGUGAUGAAGGCCUUAGGGUCGUAAAGCCCUUUCGCCGGGGAAGAUAAUGACGGUACCCGGUAAAGAAACCCCGGCUAACUCCGUGCCAGCCGCCGCUGUAA
rnacentral:rRNA from 1 species